GACAAGCGGAGGAGCAUGUGGUUUAAUUCGAUGAUACGCGAGGAACCUUACCUGGGCUUAAAUGCUUAAUGACGUACUGGGAAACUGGUAUUUCUUCGGACAUUUUGCAAGGUGCUGCAUGGUUGUCGUCAGCUCGUGCCGUGAGGUGUCGGGUUAAGUCCCAUAACGAGCGCAACCCCUAUGUUAGUUGCCAUCAGGUCAUGCUGGGGACUCUAACAAAACUGCCCGCGUAAGCGUGGAGGAAGGUGGGGAUGACGUCAAAUCAGCACGGCCCUUACGUCCAGGGCUACACACGUGCUACAAUGGCCGGUACAGAGGGCAGCCACUUGGUGACAAGGAGCAAAUCUCAAAAGCCGGUCUCAGUUCGGAUCGGAGUCUGCAACUCGACUCCGUGAAGUUGGAUUCGCUAGUAAUCGUAGAUCAGCAAUGCUACGGUGAAUACGUUCCCGGGCCUU
rnacentral:rRNA from 1 species